UCUGGUAACAAUAGCGAAGAGGUCACACCCGUUCCCAUGCCGAACACGGAAGUUAAGCUCUUCAGCGCUUAUGGUAAUUGGGUGGAAACGCCCUGUGAGAGUAGGACGUUGCCAGGU
rnacentral:rRNA from 1 species